rnacentral:rRNA from 1 species
AGUGAACGCUGGCGGUAGGCCUAACACAUGCAAGUCGAACGGCAGCACAGUAAGAGCUUGCUCUUACGGGUGGCGAGUGGCGGACGGGUGAGGAAUACAUCUGAAUCUACUUUUUCGUGGGGGAUAACGUAGGGAAACUUACGCUAAUACCGCAUACGACCUACGGGUGAAAGCAGGGGAUCUUCGGACCUUGCGCGAUUGAAUGAGCCGAUGUCGGAUUAGCUAGUUGGCGGGGUAAGGGCCCACCAAGGCGACGAUCCGUAGCUGGUCUGAGAGGAUGAUCAGCCACACUGGAACUGAGACACGGUCCAGACUCCUACGGGAGGCAGCAGUGGGGAAUAUUGGACAAUGGGCGCAAGCCUGAUCCAGCCAUACCGCGUGGGUGAAGAAGGCCUUCGGGUUGUAAAGCCCUUUUGUUGGGAAAGAAAAGCAGCAGGUUAAUACCCCGCUGUUCUGACGGUACCCAAAGAAUAAGCACCGGCUAACUUCGUG